rnacentral:rRNA from 1 species
UUCCUACGGGUGGCUGCAGUCGAGAAUCUUCGGCAAUGGGCGCAAGCCUGACCGAGCGACGCCGCGUGCGGGAUGAAGGUCUUCGGAUUGUAAACCGCUGUCGGAGGGGAUGAAGUGCAUGGGGGUACUCCCUCAUGUUUGACAGAGCCUCGGAGGAAGCACGGGCUAAGUUCGUGCCAGCAGCCGCGGUAAUACGAACUGUGCGAACGUUAUUCGGAAUCACUGGGCUUAAAGGGUGCGUAGGCGGCGGCUCAAGUCAGGUGUGAAAUCCCCCGGCUCAACCGGGGAACAGCGCUUGAAACUGGGUGGCUCGAGUGAGGCAGGGGUGCAUGGAACUUCCGGUGGAGCGGUGAAAUGUGUAGAGAUCGGAAGGAACGCCGGCGGCGAAAGCGGUGCACUGGGCCUUGUCUGACGCUGAGGCACGAAAGCUAGGGGAGUGAACGGGAUUAGAUACCCCUGUAGUCC